AAAAUAGCCUUACAAAUAUAUAUCCUGUACUUGUUCUUUCUCCUCAACUGGAGUGAGCUGCCCUGCACUGAAGAACUGAGCAGUGUGUUCUGAUGGGGAUAAUCUGAAGUUUCCUGAAAGGUUGGAAGGAAACAGUAAAAGAGAAAUGUUUGAUUUACCAAAGAGUCUGUGCAACAAAUCAACCUUGAAGGAAGAAGGCUCUUUCUGCUUUGCACAGAUGGUGUGUGGAGAAGACUGUACAAAGGACUCCUUGGUGGUUUCUUCAGCCUGGCCAUGAGGAAACAAAAUGGUGAAGAAAUGUUGCAUCCUCCUGUCUGUCUCUUCAAACAACAAAGUGAUGUAAUCAAAGGAGGGCUUACAACAGCUGAAGUCCAUGGAUGCUGCUGACUUCCACUCUUAUGAAGUGAGGCUCAACUGUAACACUCCAAAUCCAUGUACAGACUUGGCAGACAAAAUCAGUGUUGUUUGUGACUCUUGAAAGCAAAUUCAUGAAAGCAAUAAAACUUGCUCUGUUUCUUGGAGUUGGGAUGAGAGAGAGGGGGAAGAGUAAAGGAGCAAGAGGCAGAGCUGGUGAAAGUGUUCUAGUUUGGUACCUGUAUCCUGUCCAACUUGCCAGUCUUCGCUUCCCCUGGCUUCAGAUCUCCUCUACCAAUUUCCUUUUCAUUCAUCUCUGAUCACACCAAGAUCUACCAUGCCCUUCAUAUUCUGUUUCAACUCACAAAACCAAUGCUGCUCUCACUUUUUCAUUGUGUUUCUUUUGUACAAUGUACUCACGAAAGAAUAAAUUAGCAUAGAAGCCA